GGCUUUUCCAAUGGUAGUGGGUUAUCUGAACUUAUUAGCAUUAGUAUCACUAAAGUUGAUAUACAACCCCGCAGGCUAAAUUUGACCGGCA
rnacentral:Y_RNA from 1 species